UCAAUGNUCGCAAGAGUGAACUAGCUAACUGAAAUCAUUUGUACUAUCUGAUAGUAACAAGAGAUGUCGUAAGGGAAAAUAAUGAUACUACCUUACUAAUAGUGUUGUCAAAAGCUGGUGCCAGAAGACUCGGUAAGGCCAGAAACACAAACGUUAAUCAUCUUAAACAGGCGUAAAGGGUUUGUAGGCUGCUUUGAAAUUCUUAAUUUUUAUAUAGCUAUAAAAAAAUUAUGAUGAAUUGAAGCUAGAAUCAAAUAGAGGUUAUAUUGAAUAAUACUUAGAGGAGGGAUUAAAUCCUUAGAACCUAAGGGGAAUACUAAGGGCGAAGGCAUUUUACCACUAAUGAUUGACGCUAAGAAACGAAGGUGAGGAUAGGAAAUAGGAUUAGAUACCCCGGUACCCCUCUCUGUCAACGAUGAAUGGUAGUUCCUAGUUUAAUAAAUUAGAGACGAUGUUAACACGCUAACCAUUCCGCCUUGUGAGUACGAUUGCAAAAUUGAAAACAAAAAAAUUAGUCG
rnacentral:rRNA from 1 species